rnacentral:rRNA from 1 species
CCCUUAGAUGUCCUGGGCUGCACGCGCGCUACACUGAUGUGUCCAGUAAGCACCUAACCUAUUCCGAGAGGAGCGGGUAACCUUAGCAAAGCACAUCGUGAUGGGGAUAGAUUAUUGCAAUUAUUAGUCUUGAACGAGGAAUUCCUAGUAAGCACAAGUCAUCAGCUUGUGUUGAUUACGUCCCUGCCCUUUGUACACACCGCCCGUCGCUCCUACCGAUUGAAUGUUCCGGUGAGCUCUUCGGACUGCGUGGUCUGCAGUUUCUGCGUUCCGUGCGGAAAGUUGUGCAAACCUUAACAUUUAGAGGAAGGAGAAGUCGUAACA